rnacentral:misc_RNA from 1 species
GGCAUCGUUUGGCUCUACAAUCUCGUUUUCUACAUCCCGCUUGAUAUUAUCAAGUUUAUUAUCCGCUAUGCUCUGAGCGGGAAAGCGUGGGAUCUCGUCAUCGAACAAAGAAUUGCCUUCACAAGGAAGAAAGAUUUCGGGAAGGAAGCGAGGGAGCUUAAGUGGGCGCAUGCUCAGAGGACACUUCAUGGGCUGCAGGCACCUGAUAGCAACAUGUUCACUGAAAGCAACUUCACUGAUCUCAACCAGAUGGCCGAAGAGGCCAAACGGCGAGCUGAGAUUGCUAGGCUAAGGGAGCUGCACACUCUGAAAGGUCAUGUGGAGUCGGUGGUGAGGCUGAAGGGACUGGACAUCGAAACCAUUCAGCAAGCCUACACUGUCUGAAACCGAAGAGGCACGACAAGUCGAUGAUCUAUCGAGCAAUGCUGAUACUGAUACUGCCAUCGAGGCGUUGUUCCAUACGAUAAAUACCCGCAAUGUUAUUAUUCCGAUUUCUGAUUAGUUUUGUUUAAUACUGGAGCUAUUGGGUUGUUCUUAUUCAGUACAGCUAUUUUGGGCAGAUUUAGUAGCAUAUCUUGGCACAUGGAUUGCAUUUGUUUCACUGCAUUGUUUUGUACUAAAAGAAAUUUGGAUUAGCAGCUAGAGCAUGUGGUGGGUCAUUUAUUAGAACAUGGGUCGUCUGCCGC